rnacentral:rRNA from 1 species
AUGAACGCUAGCUACAGGCUUAACACAUGCAAGUCGAGGGGCAGCAUGGUCUUAGCUUGCUAAGGCCGAUGGCGACCGGCGCACGGGUGAGUAACACGUAUCCAACCUGCCGUCUACUCUUGGACAGCCUUCUGAAAGGAAGAUUAAUACAAGAUGGCAUCAUGAGUCCGCAUGUUCACAUGAUUAAAGGUAUUCCGGUAGACGAUGGGGAUGCGUUCCAUUAGAUAGUAGGCGGGGUAACGGCCCACCUAGUCUUCGAUGGAUAGGGGUUCUGAGAGGAAGGUCCCCCACAUUGGAACUGAGACACGGUCCAAACUCCUACGGGAGGAAGCAGUGAGGAAUAUUGGUCAAUGGGCGAGAGCCUGAACCAGCCAAGUAGCGUGAAGGAUGACUGCCCUAUGGGUUGUAAACUUCUUUUAUAAAGGAAUAAAGUCGGGUAUGGAUACCCGUUUGCAUGUACUUUAUGAAUAAGGAUCGGCUAACUCCGUG